AGUGAACGCUGGCGGUAGGCCUAACACAUGCCAGUCGAACGGCAGCACAGUAAGAGCUUGCUCUUACGGGUGGCGAGUGGCGGACGGGUGAGGAAUACAUCGGAAUCUACUUUUUCGUGGGGGAUAACGUAGGGAAACUUACGCUAAUACCGCAUACGACCUACGGGUGAAAGCAGGGGAUCUUCGGACCUUGCGCGAUUGAAUGAGCCGAUGUCGGAUUAGCUAGUUGGCGGGGUAAAGGCCCACCAAGGCGACGAUCCGUAGCUGGUCUGAGAGGAUGAUCAGCCACACUGGAACUGAGACACGGUCCAGACUCCUACGGGAGGCAGCAGUGGGGAAUAUUGGACAAUGGGCGCUAGCCUGAUCCAGCCAUACCGCGUGGGUGAAGAAGGCCUUCGGGUUGUAAAGCCCUUUUGUUGGGAAAGAAAAGCAGCAGGUUAAUACCCCGCUGUUCUGACGGUACCCAAAGAAUAAGCACCGGCUAACUUCGUG
rnacentral:rRNA from 1 species